GGCCCAUAGCUCAGUGGUAGAAUAUCUGCCUUGCAUGCAGAAGGUUCCGGGUUCAGCUCUCAGCAUCUCUA